rnacentral:lncRNA from 1 species
UGGGCCCCACUUCUUUGUCAGAGACUCAACCCAGCGGAACGCGUGUCAAUUUGGCAAUCGCCUGUUCAGCUGUGUCAAGAGUCGAGACUAGAGUUUAUGCUAGACCGUGCAUUUGGCAGUUAACAGUACAAUGUCACUACAAUGCAUUCCUCGUGAUCGACACGUCUGAUGCUCAAUCUGCCGUUGUUUAUGCAAAGAAAGGGGGAGUUCUCCAGCAUCCUCACCACUUGGAAGCGUAUGCAAUCUUCUUUCAAUGAAUUGCUGCACACAAAAGUCAAAUUUUAAAGCUAAUCAUUUUAUCAAUUCAAAUUAUUUCUUGCCUAUUGACAUAGCUGGAACCAAUUUCUUAAUCAUUUAACCUAAUUACUAGUCAUAUGUAGGUAAAUUUUGUCCACUUCCCUUAGAAAGUGCCUUCUUUCACCAUUCAUUCCCUUGCACUGACACCUAAUCAUUCUUCAAUUCAAACUUUUUUCCAUUUAAUUUUCCUGAUUCCUUUAGUUGAUUUUCGC